AGAAAACUCGAGGCGCACGCAUGCAUUAUGCAUCGCGUGCCGCGUUGUUUAUCCAUUGUCCUCCACGCUUUCUUUCAGCUUUUCGAACACUCCCACCUGCUUCCCAACCACAAACACCAUCGUCCAUUAUCUUUCUUCUAGUUCUUUUCGGUAGUCGGAGGAUAUCUCGUCGAGUGUUUGCGGUGUACACCAGUGUGCCGAUGUUCUCGAUUAGGAUUUCGACGAAUUAUUUUAAGAUCGUGCGUAACAGCCGAAGAAUCGUCAACUGCGUACAAUUUCAAGGAAAGAAGAGGGGGGG